ensembl:lncRNA
GGUGGUGGUGGUGGUGGUUGUAGAGGUGGUGGAGGUGGUGGUGGUGGUGUUGUGGAGGUGGUUGAGGUGGUGGUGGUGGAGGUAGUGGUGGUUGUAGUGGUGGUGGUGGAGGAGAGGUAGUGGUGGAGAAGUAGUGGUGGAGGUAGUGGUGGAGGUGGUGGUGGUGUUGGUGGUGGUUGUAGAGGUAGUGGUGGAGGUGGUGGUGGUUGUAGAGGUAGUGGUGGAGGUGGUGGUGGUGGAGGUGGUUGAGGUGGUGGUGGAGGUAGUGGUGGUUGUAGAGGUAGUCGUGGUGGUGGUGUUGGAGAGGUAGUGGUGGAGAGGUAGUGGUGGAGGUGGUGGAGGUGGUGGUGGUGGUGGUGGUUGUAGAGGUAGUGGUGGAGGUGCUGGAGGUGGUGGAUGUAGUGGUGAAGGUGGUGGAGGUAGUGGUGGUUUAGGAGGUAGAGGUGGAAGUGGUGGAGGUGGUGGUGGUUUUAGAGGUAGUGGUGGAGGUGGACGUGGUUGUGGAAGUGGUGGUGGUUGUGGAGGUGGUGGAGGUGGUGGUGGUUGUGGAGUUGGUGGUGGUUGUGGAGGUAGUGGUGGAGGUAGUGGUGGUUGU